rnacentral:lncRNA from 10 species
CAUGUUCCGGGAAGCAGCCCUCACAAAUGUAGCCAAUGUAGGACAAGCAGUAAUCUGGGAAAUUGUAACAUAAGAUCACAUAAUGGCAGUGGCUUUUGAAUGAUAAGGAAACUGAUAAGGACUAUUAAGAAAGGAACACAGGAGACUAAAAAUCUGAAAGAUUUCCUCUAACACUGCCCAAAAAGAGUGUGAUCUGAUUUUAGAUGAAUUGUACUGGUUCUUUGGACUAAAAUAUCCCUCCAGCAGAGAAAGGCAAUUCAUCAAGCAACCAGAGCUAGAAAGUAAUUCUCUGAAAGAACAUCCGGCUGCCCUGGCUCGUGGUCUUUGCUUACCCAGAAGAGAAUCUGCAAUUUGGCCAUCUGAGUGCUGUUGACCAGCAUGGGUUCUUUUAGUGAUGAUCCUGCUGGGAGAUAAUAUGGGAUAUUGGUUUAUCAAUCACUCUCUGAAACCCAGCAUGUCCACCUAGUUCUAAAGCUCCAAAGAACAGAAGUUUAAGCAAGAAUCUUGCAAAAGCAUUCCUAAGUGUAGCCUCAGUGUGAGGAUCUCAAACUUACUCAGUUUUGGUGAUGCGGAUGGAAUGCUAAUAGAAACAUGACUUUCUGGAAAAGGAAAGCCCUAGCAGACUAACACAGCUGGCAAGUCAGAAGCCUCAGACUCCAAGACCCUGACUGCAGUGCUAUCACACCUCUGUCAGCAGAGUUGGCUAAUGAAUCUUGGAAAAAUCAGAGGUCUUCUCACAAAAUAAGGAUCCUGUGAAGGAGAGUAAUCAAGGAAAAGUUGCAAUCUCUUCAGACCUCUAUCAUCAAAAAGGAGGCCCAGUGCAUUAUUGCA